rnacentral:misc_RNA from 1 species
GAGACUACAUUCAACAGCUACUGAAUCCAUGCAUUAGUUCUCCUUCGUUGCUGCUACAUUUUAUAACGUUCAAUCUUUCAGUGCUUAGAAUAAAUACACUUGUGCUACUUUACGCAAACUUCAACUUGUGCGGGACACUAAUUGUGAUUUCCUGCAACUUACUACUUUCAUUAUACACCUUAUACAUAAACACGCAAGAAUACACCAGUGGAGGAAAGAAAUAGAGUCCAUCCUACACACCUAACCCCUCCAAUUGAUUGCCUGGGUACAGAUUAUACCUUCUACUUCUUCAUCGUUGGCCACAACAAAAUUGUCUUUCUUUUUUGCUUCAUCAAUUAAACUACCUCCGGUCCCCCUCGAAUGGGCACACACUCACAUGUCAAAAUUACGGAUUGAAUGCCUGCGGAGAAACCAAGAACCACUGACAGCCUUCAUCUGUCCAAGAAUGCUCUGCAAUAUCCAUCAGGC